GACGAACCGUGCAAACGUUGUUCGGAUUCACUGGGCUUAAAGGGCGCGUAGGCGGGUGGCCAAGUCAGGGGUGAAAUCUUUCGGCUCAACCGGAAAAUUGCCUUUGAUACUGGCCGUCUGGAGGGAGGUAGGGGCAUGUGGAACUUCCGGUGGAGCGGUGAAAUGCGUUGAUAUCGGAAGGAACGCCGGUGGCGAAAGCGACGUGCUGGACCUCUUCUGACGCUGAUGCGCGAAAGCUAGGGGAGCGAACGGG
rnacentral:rRNA from 1 species